rnacentral:ncRNA from 1 species
GAGAGCCAAAUGAAUCGAAAGAUUCAUGUUUGGUUCGAGAAGAGAUCAUAUAAGUUGUAUUGAUAUUGGCGCGAUCUAACCUAUUAUGGGGAGUCGGUCCUCCACUUGUCC